rnacentral:tRNA from 3 species
CGGGCUGUAGCUCAGCUUGGUAGAGCGCUUGGUUCGGGACCAAGAGGUCGCAGGUUCAAAUCCUGUCAGCCCGA